UACGAAGGGGGCUAGCGUUGCUCGGAAUCACUGGGCGUAAAGGGUGCGUAGGCGGGUCUUAAGUCAGGGGUGAAAUCCUGGAGCUCAACUCCAGAACUGCCUUUGAUACUGAAGAUCUUGAGUUCGGGAGAGGUGAGUGGAACUGCGAGUGUAGAGGUGAAAUUCGUAGAUAUUCGCAAGAACACCAGUGGCGAAGGCGGCUCACUGGCCCGAUACUGACGCUGAGGCACGAAAGCGUGGGGAGCAACAGGGAUUAAGAA
rnacentral:rRNA from 1 species